rnacentral:rRNA from 1 species
UACGUAGGGUGCAAGCGUUAAUCGGAAUUACUGGGCGUAAAGCGUGGGCAGGCGGUGAUGUAAGACAGUUGUGAAAUCCCCGGGCUCAACCUGGGAACUGCAUCUGUGACUGCAUCGCUGGAGUGCGGCAGAGGGGGAUGGAAUUCCGCGUGUAGCAGUGAAAUGCGUAGAUAUGCGGAGGAACACCGAUGGCGAAGGCAAUCCCCUGGGCCUGCACUGACGCUCAUGCACGAAAGCGUGGGGAGCAAACAGG